ensembl:ncRNA C52B9.16 ncRNA
CACUCCAUUUCACCUUUAGGUCGUACCUCUGCGUCUCUUCUGUCUACGGGCUGUUGCGUGCGCCGUCCGGUGGGAGGGAGGAGGUCUCCUCCCACUUACGAUUGUAUGAUGCCGACGGCUGUUUCACGCUAUUUUGCGCCUUCUUCUCAAAUACUCAUCCGAAGGCUUCUUCUGCAUUUUUGCAUUGACUACUUGAGAAG